rnacentral:rRNA from 1 species
CAGCAGCCCGGUAAUACGUAGGUGGCAAGCGUUGUCCGGAAUUAUUGGGCGUAAAGGGCUCGCAGGCGGUUUCUUAAGUCUGAUGCGAAAGCCCCCGGCUCAACCGGGGAGGGUCACUGGAAACUGGGAAACUUGAGUGCAGAAGAGGAGAGUGGAAUUCCACGUGUGGCGGUGAAAUGCGUAGAGAUGUGGAGGAACACCAGUGGCGAAGGCGACUCUCUGGUCUGUAACUGACGCUGAGGAGCGAAAGCGUGGGGAGCGAACAGGAUUAGAGACCCCGGUAGUCCCUGUCUCUUAUACA